rnacentral:rRNA from 1 species
UAAUGUCUAGAACAAAAGAUUUAACAUUUUAGGAUAUUUCUUAAUCUAAAAAUUAUAAUUUUUUUAAAAAGUAAAAAAUCUUUUAUAUUUCAAAAAGACGACAAGACCCUAUUGAACUUAACUUUAGUUUAACUGGGGCAGUUGUUUAAUUAAUACUUUAUUAUAUUUACAUAUAUGAAUAACUAUAUAUUUAAUAAUUCAGUUACCAUAGGGAUAACAGCGCAAUUAAUUUUUAAAGAUCUUAUUAAAAAAUUAGAUUACGACCUCGAUGUUGAAUUAAUUACCUACUUUAAAGCAAAAUUUAAGUAAGGAAGUCUGUUCGACUUUUAAAAAAUUACAUGAUUUGAGUUCAGACCGGCGUAAGCCAGGUCGGUUUCUAUCUUUUAUAUAAUUUUUUAUAGUACGAAAGGAAAUAAAAAUAUUUUAUUACAAAAUUGGCAGAUAAAUGCAUUAGAAUUAGAAUCUAAUUAAGCUUUAAUUUCUUUUAUAUUAAACUAUAUACUAAUCAUAAUUAGAAUUUUAGUAAGCGUCGCUUUUUAUACUAUUAUAGAACGAAAAAUUCUAGGCUAUAUACAAAUUCGGAAAGGUCCUAAUAAAGUAGGAUUUUUAGGAAUCAUACAGCCAUUUAGAGAUGCGCUGAAACUCUUUAAUAAAAGCAUUUUAUCCUCCGAAAAUAUAAAUUAUAUUUUAUCCUAUUUAACUCCAGCCUUAUCAUUAUUCAUUAGAAUAAUAAUUAUCCCUAUUAUUUCUUAUAAYYYHHWUUCCUUAUACGAUAAUAAACAUAGAAUUUUAUUAUU